rnacentral:rRNA from 1 species
GGUCAAGCGAACAAGGGCGCAGGGCGAAUGCCUUGGCACUGGGAGCCGAUGAAAGACGUGAUAAGCUGCGAUAAGCUUCGGGGAGCUGCAAAUAAGCAUUGAUCCGGAGAUUUCUGAAUGAGGAAACUCACCUGGGUUCAUACUCAGGUACGUUAUACUGAACUUCAAAAUAGGUAUAUCGAGGGAACCGCCUGAACUGAAACAUCUAAGUAGGGCGAGGAAGAGACAUCAAACGAGAUUCCGUAAGUAGUGGCGAGCGAACGCGGAAGAGGGCAAACCGAGAGUAGAAAUACUUUCGGGGUACGGACUGCUUUUAGGACUCAAUCUGUUAACCGAACGGCAUGGGAAGGCCGGUCAGAGAGUGUGAGAACCACGUAGGUGAAAACGGAGAGAGCUGCGCAGAAUCCAGAGUACGGCCAGACACGUGAAACCUGGUCGGAAUACGGGGGGACCACCCUCCAACCCUAAAUACUACCCAGUGACCGAUAGCGUAUAGUACUGUGAAGGAAAGGUGAAAAGCACCCCGGGAGG